GGCUCAGGAUGAACGCUGGCGGUAUGCUUAACACAUGCAAGUCGAACGGUGUCUUCGGACACAGUGGCGGACGGGUGAGUAACGCGUGAGAAUCUGGCUUCAGGUCGGGGACAACCACUGGAAACGGUGGCUAAUACCGGAUGUGCCGAAAGGUGAAAGAUUUAUUGCCUGAAGAUGAGCUCGCGUCUGAUUAGCUAGUAGGUGUGGUAAGAGCGCACCUAGGCGACGAUCAGUAGCUGGUCUGAGAGGAUGAUCAGCCACACUGGGACUGAGACACGGCCCAGACUCCUACGGGAGGCAGCAGUGGGGAAUUUUCCGCAAUGGGCGAAAGCCUAACGGAGCAAUACCGCGUGAGGGAGGAAGGCUCUUGGGUUGUAAACCUCUUUUCUCAGGGAAGAAAAAAAUGACGGUACCUGAGGAAUAAGCAUCGGCUAACUCCGUGCCAGCAGCCGCGGUAAUACGGAGGAUGCAAGCGUUAUCCGGAAUGAUUGGGCGUAAAGCGUCCGCAGGUGGCUAUGUAAGUCUGCUGUUAAAGAGUGAGGCUCAACCUCAUAAAAGCAGUGGAAACUACAUAGCUAGAGUGCGUUCGAGGCAGAGGGAAUUCCUGGUGUAGCGGUGAAAUGCGUAGAGAUCAGGAAGAACACCGGUGGCGAAAGCGCUCUGCUAGGCCGCAACUGACACUGAGGGACGAAAGCUAGGGGAGCGAAUGGGAUUAGAUACCCCAGUAGUCCUAGCCGUAAACGAUGGAUACUAGGCGUGGCUUGUAUCGACCCGAGCCGUGCCGUAGCUAACGCGUUAAGUAUCCCGCCUGGGGAGUACGCACGCAAGUGUGAAACUC
rnacentral:rRNA from 1 species